GUGAGGAAUAUUGCGCAAUGGGCGAAAGCCUGACGCAGCGACGCCGCGUGGAGGAUGAAGGCCCUCGGGUUGUAAACUCCUGUCAGUGGGGAAGAGAACGGACGGUACCCACUGAGGAAGCUUCGGCUAACUACGUGCCAGCAGCCGCGGUAAGACGUAGGGAGCAAGCGUUGUCCGGAAUUACUGGGCGUAAAGAGCUCGUAGGCGGGAGCGUACGUCUGAAAGGAAAUCUCAGGGCUCAACUCUGGGGCUUUUUCAGAUACGGCGCUUCUUGAGUGUAACAGAGGAAAGCAGAAUUCCCGGUGUAGCGGUGAAAUGCGUAGAUAUCGGGAGGAAUACCAGUGGCGAAGGCGGCUUUCUGGGUUACCACUGACGCUGAGGAGCGAAAGCGUGGGGAGCGAACGGGAUUAGAUACCCCAGUAGUCC
rnacentral:rRNA from 1 species